GACGAACGCUGGCGGCGUGCUUAACACAUGCAAGUCGAGCGGUAAGGCCCUUUCGGGGGUACACGAGCGGCGAACGGGUGAGUAACACGUGGGUGACCUGCCCUCAGCUCUGGGAUAAGCCUGGGAAACCGGGUCUAAUACCGGAUAUGACUCCAUGACGCAUGUUGUGGGGUGGAAAGCCUUGUGCGGCUGAGGAUGGGCCCGCGGCCUAUCAGCUUGUUGGUGGGGUGAUGGCCUACCAAGGCGACGAUCAGUAGCUGGUCUGAGAGGAUGAUCAGCCACAUUGGGACUGAGACACGGCCCAAACUCCUACGGGAGGCAGCAGUGGGGAAUAUUGGACAAUGGGCGAAAGCCUGAUCCAGCCAUGCCGCGUGAGUGAUGAAGGCCUUAGGGUUGUAAAGCUC
rnacentral:rRNA from 1 species